rnacentral:rRNA from 1 species
AUUGAACGCUGGCGGCAGGCCUCACACAUGCAAGUCGAGCGAGCGGCGGACGGGUGAGUAAUGCCUGAGAAUUGCCCAGUCGAGGUGGAUAACAGUUGGAAACGACUGCUAAUACCGCAUACGAUUGGAUUGCCCCGGUGUGAUUAGCUAGUUGGUGUGGUAAUGGCUCACCAAGGCGACGAACCCUAGCUGAUCUGAGAGGAGGUUGAGCGACACUGGAACUGGUACAAGGUCCAUACUCAUACGGGAGGCAGCAGUGGAGAAUAUUGCACAAUGGUGGAAAACCAGACGCAGCCACGCCGAGUGGGUGAAGAAGGCCUUCGGGUUGUAAAGCACUUUCAGCGAGGAGGCGUAACUCGCAGAGGAAGCACCGGCUAACUCCGUGCCAGCAGCCGCGGUAAUAC